CCUAAAAUACUAUUAAACAAAUUUAAAAGAUUAAUAUAGCAAAAGCUAAUAUUUGAAUACAAAAAUAUAUAAAAAUGAAAAAAUUAAUUUAAUUUAAUUUUAAAGAUUAAAAACAUACUUAAUAUAUUGGAGGAUCUCCUAGACGGCAGAGGCGGACGAUAAACGAAUGGUGAUGAGGCCAGACGGCUACGUAUGGUAAGCAAGCUCCCGGUCGAUUAAGGUAAAGCAUUGAUUAAUUAGUGAUUGGGAUGUGAUUGGGCCUUGAUUAAGGUCUCGCUAACCCAAAGCUCAUAAUCAAAACUAUAAACACAGGUCAAAGGUAAAAGGUAGGUAGAUUCAUUAAUUGCGCAUUUAUUACAGUAUUCAAAUUACCGAUCGGAAUAUUACUGACUUUAGCAUCGGAGCACCUUUGGCAGGUACACCAUCGAUCGUUGGACAAAAGAUUGGGAACCAAAGUACCGAACGGAGCUUGGAGGAAAUUGUGAAGGACUUAGGUGACUCGACCAUAUACCAGAUCAUUUUGGCAUCCACUGUGGGGCCGAGUAACUUAGAAGACCCAAUGAUGACCACUAGGAAUAUGAGCGCUGAAGACCCAACUGAGAUGAUCAGGAUGCUACACCAAAGAAUGGAAGAGAUGCAACAAUGCCACGAGACGGAGUUAACAACUGUCCGGGCAGAAUACUAAGCUCGGAUCGUUGGGGAAAAGAACGCCGAAGCAGGCGAGAAGGCUGACAAAGAACGCGGCAAGGCCGCUAAAAGGGAAAGGACUGAACACAGUAGUAUGUCGGACGAAACGUGGAGGCUGACCGAGUCCGGGGUAGGAGCGAAUGGAGCCAAGACCGCCCCUAAGGAAAGCGUCGCUAUGACUAAACAGUUGGUGAUGAAGGCCGAAGAUACCUCCGGAAACUUACUGUUCUCCCAAGCCAUCAUGGAUGUUCACAUAUCCGAACAGUUUUCCCCACCUCAACUUUGUAUUUAUGAUGGGACAAUCGAACCAAACGAUCACAUUAAGGCGUUUACCGAUCGAAUGACAUUUCGCACGGGGAAUCAGGAAAUCUGGUGUCAAGCGUUCUCUUUGUUGCUGGAAGGGGAGGCUUUGGAGUGGUUCAACUCUUUGCCCCCGAACUCUAUUGAAAACUAUGAGGGUUUGAAAGCUAUGUUCGAUUGACAGUUUGCAAGUAGCCGUUCCCAAGACUUAACCAUUUUUUAAUUAUCAAGCCUCAAGCAGGAGAAGAAGGAGACGCUAAAGGCAUUCAUGGACUGUUACCAGAAGAUGGUCUGGCGGGUAAAGGGCCUCAAUACCGAACUUGCCCUCUAGUAUGUCCUGCCCACCCUCAAGCCGGGACCUUUCAAGGAUAGUGUCUACUGGCGCGCACCGAAGACCCUAGAGAAGCUGCGCGAGAGGGCGACUGAUGAAAUAAUGGUGGAGGAAAUGAUGUCUUAGCGAAAGGAGGCGCAUGAAGUAAAGGAGAAGUUGGUGGCAAAGAGGCAUGCAGGGCCGACAGAGAAAACCGGAGGAUUUAGGCUGAAAGAGCCUCCUAGGGGGCGCAUUUUUAGCAGUACACCCCGUUAAACGCCCCCCACACGAGAAUAUUACAAGAAGCAUUGACCGCCGAAUUAAUAUAGACGCCUAAGAGGCGCCCAACAUCGCCCGGGGUCGAUGGCAAUAAGCAUUGCCUAUACCACAAAAACUUGGGUCACAACACUAAAGAGUGUGUGACCCUUAGGGACCAAAUCGAGGAGUUGAUUAGGGUGGGUCAGUUGAAAAAGUACAUCAAAACCGACCGUUAGGCUGAAUCGUCACGACGACGAUGCAUUCCAUGGAGGAGGUGUCCAGGAAGGCCAGGUGAUCGCGGUUGCAUGCGGUACAGCAGAAAUGACCGCCCCUAAUCAUAGAGGUGGCAUAGUUGGAGUCUUAGCAAGAGUAAUGACCGUCCAUUAGGCGGCCAUAUCAAUACCAUUUCCGGAGGAUUCAUAGGGAAAGGAUCAUCCUUAUCAUCUAGGAAGCUUCACGUCCGAGCCCUCCGCUCCGUUCAUGCCGUGGAUCGGACUAGGAAAACCAUGCCACCCAUCACCUUCACAGACGAAGACUUCCACGCUCCGAACCUAGAUCAAGACGAUCCCAUGGUAAUCACUGCAGAGAAAGCCCGAUAUGAAGUGAGCAAGGUGUUGAUCGAUCAAGGAAGCUUCGUUAACAUUCUAUACUGGAAGACUUUUCAGCGCAUGGACUUAUCAGAGGACCUAAUCGUCCCUUAUAACAAACAAAUAGUGGACUUCGCCGAAGAACGGGUGGACACGCGAAGGUAUUGGACCUUCGUACCUGGCUCGUCGCCAAGCGGGUGGUGAUGAAAAUAGGUUUGAUACUUGCUGGUGAAGGCUAACACGUCACAUAACGUCUUCCUAGGCCGUUUGUGCCUGAACGCAUUUGGAGCUAUAGUAUCUACCCUUCACUUGACCAUGAAGUACCCAUCAGAGAAGGGAACGAUGUUCAUCGUUUGGGCCAAUCAAAGGAUGGCCAUAGAAUGCUAUGCAACCGGGCUAAGGCUUUAUCCCUAGUCAACCCGGUGAAAGAUGGUCGGAUCAAACCGCUAGGACAAUUGUGUCAGUUUAAGGUGGGACAAGGCGACCAACAGGUCACUAGCAAGGCAAGAGGUUUGGAACCUGAGGUAGAGCGGGAGCUACAGUGGACAUGCCCGACAUCAACCCCGCAGUAAUGUCCCAUAAUUUGGCCUUAUUCAAAGAAGCAAAGCUAGUCACCCAGAGGAAAAGAUGGAUAGGAGCGGAGAAGAGGGAGGCAGUAGAUGGAGAGGUCAGAAAGCUGAAGGAGGUUGGCUUUAUUAGGGAAGUGACAUACACCACAUGGCUGGCAAAUGUUAUCAUGGCUAGGAAGGUCAGCAAAAGUGGCAAAUGUGCACAGACUACACCGCCCUCAACAAGGCAUGUCCUAAGGACGUUCACCCGCUCCCCAACAUUGAUGGCCUAGUCGAUGGCGCUUCUGACCAUCAUAUGUUCAACUUCCUUGACGCUUACUCCGACCAUUUAACAUUGAAACCCCAAUGACAACAGAUUGUUUAGGGCUUGUGGGGCCUAGUGUAUUGGUGGAUCUCCCGGACGACCAGAGUCGGACGAUAAACGAAUGUUGAUGAGGUCCGAUGACUGCGUAUAGUAAGCGAGCUCCCAGUCGAUUAAGGUAAAACAUUGAUUAAUUAGUGAUUGGGCCUUGAUUAAGGUCUCGCUAAUCCAAAGUCCAUAACCUAAACUAUAAAUACAGGUCAAAGGUACACCAUCGAUCAGUGGACAGCAGACUGGGAAAUAGAGUAUUGAUCGGACGAAGCUUAGAGGAAAUUGUGGAUGAGCUUAUUUCUAUCUAGGCAUGUUGUUCUAUAUCAGUAAGGCUCGAGCAAGGUUCAUGCCAAAUGAAUAACACCCUUGUGUUAGGGUUUGAGACAAAGAAGAUGAUUCUCGUUAAAUGCAAAGAAGAGCUCGAUGGCUCAUGCUUAUGGAUCAAGGGAUGGGACAAUUUUGGAAACAUAUUUUGGGACUUCAAGACGGUUGUCACAUUAUUUAAUUUCGUUUUGUAAUUUUAAGUAUUUUAGAUUUGGACAGAUUUGCACCUUUGAGCCCAAUUUGAGGUUACUUUUUGUAAGAAGCCCAUAUUGAGGGCAUUUUCGUCUUUAGGGGUUUUAAAACCCCAAAUCAGAUUUUAGAAGCUCUCAUCUUCGUCAUUUUCGUUUUUCCUUUAGGUUUUGGUGCUUGGGACGUUUUCCACUC